ACCUGCUCAGGGAGCUCCGGAGAAGGCACACUGCAGCAGCUUCUCUGGGGAAUGAGAAGCCUACCUGCUGAGCCCACACAUGUUAAAGACUCAUUGUCUGAACAAUGAAAAACUGAAGCGAUUGGUAUGAGAAGGAGAAAAAAGAAUUGAAAGAUCUGAGGAUGACUGCUGGGGUCUGUGCUGAGGACAAAUUCUCACUGAUAAGGUAUAAAGACAAGUAUUCUUCGAGUUCUCUGGUGCUUGGUUCUGGUAUGAGAAAACAAGCUGCUCAGUUGCUAUAGCACCCCAAUG